AAUGAACAAGAGGAGAAGUUUUUUACCAAGUGGGUGAAAUAUUGGGAACUUUGAUCAAAACGUUUAAAGCCUCUUUCUUGCCUUUCUUUGAUGAUCUAUCUUCAUAUCUUACACCUAUGUGGGGUAAAGAUAAGACGGCUGAAGAAAGAAGAGUUGCAAUUUGUAUUUUUGAUGAUGUUGUGGAACAGUGUCGCGAAGCAGCUCUAAAAUAUUAUGACACAUAUCUUCCUUUCAUGUUGGAGGCUUGCAAUGAUGAGAACCCAGAUGAUUGACAAGCAGCAGUAUAUGGACUUGGCGUU